rnacentral:rRNA from 4 species
GGGUUGUGAGGUUAAGCGACUAAGCGUACACGGUGGAUGCCCUGGCAGUCAGAGGCGAUGAAGGGCGUGCUAAUCUGCGAUAAGCGCCGGUAAGGUGAUAUGAACCGUUAUAACCGGCGAUACCCGAAUGGGGAAACCCAGUGUGACUCGUCACACUAUCAUUAACUGAAUCCAUAGGUUAAUGAGGCGAACCGGGGGAACUGAAACAUCUAAGUACCCCGAGGAAAAGAAAUCAACCGAGAUUCCCCCAGUAGCGGCGAGCGAACGGGGAGGAGCCCAGAGCCUGAAUCAGCAUGUGUGUUAGUGGAAGCGUCUGGAAAGGCGCGCGAUACAGGGUGACAGCCCCGUACACAAAAGCGCAUGUGCUGUGAGCUCGAUGAGUAGGGCGGGACACGUGGUAUCCUGUCUGAAUAUGGGGGGACCAUCCUCCAAGGCUAAAUACUCCUGACUGACCGAUAGUGAACCAGUACCGUGAGGGAAAGGCGAAAAGAACCCCGGCGAGGGGAGUGAAAAAGAACCUGAAACCGUGUACGUACAAGCAGUGGGAGCCCCACCACCAAAGCAUUCUCUGGUGUUGAAGGCCCUGCAAAGCAGCAUCGCGGUGGCGGAGCGUCGUUUGCGACGCCCAACACACAAAACAAGCGGUGAAUGCUUUGGGGUGGGGUGACUGCGUACCUUUUGUAUAAUGGGUCAGCGACUUAUAUUCUGUAGCAAGGUUAACCGAAUAGGGGAGCCGGAGGGAAACCGAGUCUUAAUUGGGCGUUAAGUUGCAGGGUAUAGACCCGAAACCCGGUGAUCUAGCCAUGGGCAGGUUGAAGGUUGGGUAACACUAACUGGAGGACCGAACCGACUAAUGUUGAAAAAUUAGCGGAUGACCUGUGGCUGGGGGUGAAAGGCCAAUCAAACCGGGAGAUAGCUGGUUCUCCCCGAAAGCUAUUUAGGUAGCGCCUCGUGAAUUCAUCUCCGGGGGUAGAGCACUGUUUCGGCUAGGGGGCCAUCCCGGCUUACCAACCCGAUGCAAACUGCGAAUACCGGAGAAUGUUAUCACGGGAGACACACGGCGGGUGCUAACGUCCGUCGUGAAGAGGGAAACAACCCAGACCGCCAGCUAAGGUCCCAAAGUCAUGGUUAAGUGGGAAACGAUGUGGGAAGGCCCAGACAGCCAGGAUGUUGGCUUAGAAGCAGCCAUCAUUUAAAGAAAGCGUAAUAGCUCACUGGUCGAGUCGGCCUGCGCGGAAGAUGUAACGGGGCUAAACCAUGCACCGAAGCUGCGGCAGCGACGCUGAUGCGUUGUUGGGUAGGGGAGCGUUCUGUAAGCCUGUGAAGGUGUGUCGUGAGGCAUGCUGGAGGUAUCAGAAGUGCGAAUGCUGACAUAAGUAACGAUAAAGCGGGUGAAAAGCCCGCUCGCCGGAAGACCAAGGGUUCCUGUCCAACGUUAAUCGGGGCAGGGUGAGUCGACCCCUAAGGCGAGGCCGAAAGGCGUAGUCGAUGGGAAACGGGUUAAUAUUCCCGUACUUGGUGUUACUGCGAAGGGGGGACGGAGAAGGCUAUGUUGGCCGGGCGACGGUUGUCCCGGUUUAAGCGUGUAGGUGUGUGUUCCAGGUAAAUCCGGUUCACUUUAACACUGAGGCGUGACGACGAGGCACUACGGUGCUGAAGCAACAAAUGCCCUGCUUCCAGGAAAAGCCUCUAAGCAUCAGGUAACACGAAAUCGUACCCCAAACCGACACAGGUGGUCAGGUAGAGAAUACCAAGGCGCUUGAGAGAACUCGGGUGAAGGAACUAGGCAAAAUGGUGCCGUAACUUCGGGAGAAGGCACGCUGACACGUAGGUGAAGUGAUUUACUCAUGGAGCUGAAGUCAGUCGAAGAUACCAGCUGGCUGCAACUGUUUAUUAAAAACACAGCACUGUGCAAACACGAAAGUGGACGUAUACGGUGUGACGCCUGCCCGGUGCCGGAAGGUUAAUUGAUGGGGUCAGCGCAAGCGAAGCUCCUGAUCGAAGCCCCGGUAAACGGCGGCCGUAACUAUAACGGUCCUAAGGUAGCGAAAUUCCUUGUCGGGUAAGUUCCGACCUGCACGAAUGGCGUAAUGAUGGCCAGGCUGUCUCCACCCGAGACUCAGUGAAAUUGAACUCGCUGUGAAGAUGCAGUGUACCCGCGGCAAGACGGAAAGACCCCGUGAACCUUUACUAUAGCUUGACACUGAACAUUGAGCCUUGAUGUGUAGGAUAGGUGGGAGGCUUUGAAGUGUGGACGCCAGUCUGCAUGGAGCCGACCUUGAAAUACCACCCUUUAAUGUUUGAUGUUCUAACGUGGACCCGUAAUCCGGGUUGCGGACAGUGUCUGGUGGGUAGUUUGACUGGGGCGGUCUCCUCCUAAAGAGUAACGGAGGAGCACGAAGGUUGGCUAAUCCUGGUCGGACAUCAGGAGGUUAGUGCAAUGGCAUAAGCCAGCUUGACUGCGAGCGUGACGGCGCGAGCAGGUGCGAAAGCAGGUCAUAGUGAUCCGGUGGUUCUGAAUGGAAGGGCCAUCGCUCAACGGAUAAAAGGUACUCCGGGGAUAACAGGCUGAUACCGCCCAAGAGUUCAUAUCGACGGCGGUGUUUGGCACCUCGAUGUCGGCUCAUCACAUCCUGGGGCUGAAGUAGGUCCCAAGGGUAUGGCUGUUCGCCAUUUAAAGUGGUACGCGAGCUGGGUUUAGAACGUCGUGAGACAGUUCGGUCCCUAUCUGCCGUGGGCGCUGGAGAACUGAGGGGGGCUGCUCCUAGUACGAGAGGACCGGAGUGGACGCAUCACUGGUGUUCGGGUUGUCAUGCCAAUGGCACUGCCCGGUAGCUAAAUGCGGAAGAGAUAAGUGCUGAAAGCAUCUAAGCACGAAACUUGCCCCGAGAUGAGUUCUCCCUGAGACUUUAGGUCUCCUGAAGGAACGUUGAAGACGACGACGUUGAUAGGCCGGGUGUGUAAGCGCAGCGAUGCGUUGAGCUAACCGGUACUAAUGAACCGUGAGGCUUAACCUUACAACGCCGAAG